rnacentral:pre_miRNA from 1 species
ACGAAGAAGGGAUCGGUUCCCCUCGCCGACUUUACCAAGCUUGGCAGCCUUAGAUAGAUUGUCGGGUAUGGAUGUCGGCAUAAAUCAUUGUCAGAUCCACGAACUUCC